rnacentral:tRNA from 1 species
UGGGCUAUCGCCAAGUGGUAAGGCAGUGGAAUUUGACUCCACGAUUCGUAGGUUCGAAUCCUACUAGCCUAA